GGACAAGAUUUGUGAGUGGUCGUGUCCUUUCCCUCCACAAGCUGUGAACGAAGAGAAGCCUGUUCUCUGUCCCUGCUGAAGGAACUUCCAGUUCUUCUGGCUUCACCUGUGAGGUGCUUAAUUCCAGCUGGGCAUGCCCUAGGGAGCCUGGGCACUCAAUUUUCGAUGUUUGGUGGUGUGGGGUGCUGUCACCAUUCUGAAACCCGUCCCAAGGGAGACGAGAAGGUCGCUGGUUGCUUGACUUGUUUGGUGCUGUUCUGAAGAUGCCGUCGUUUCAUGAGAUGCUGGUGGAUUUUAUGAGGAUUACAAUUUAAAACAAAGCUUGCAACUUCAGUUUUUCUUGUUACGUGACAUAAAUGGCUACAGAAAGGACUUGGGUUCUGAAGAUUCAAA
rnacentral:lncRNA from 1 species